rnacentral:rRNA from 1 species
UACGGAGGAUGCGAGCGUUAUCCGGAUUUAUUGGGUUUAAAGGGUGCGUAGGCGGCUUAGUAAGUCAGCGGUGAAAUUUUGCAGCCUAACUGUAACAGUGCCGUUGAUACUGCCAGGCUAGGAUUUGGUUGCUGUGGGUGGAAUGUGUGGUGUAGCGGUGAAAUGCUUAGAUAUCACACAGAAUAUCAAUUGCGAAGGCAGCUCACAAAGCCAAGAUUGACGCUGAGGCACGAAAGUGUGGGGAUCAAA